rnacentral:tRNA from 1 species
GGCGCGUUCGUCUAGAGGCUUAGGACGCCGCCCUCUCAAGGCGGAGAUCACCGGUUCGAAUCCGGUACGCGCUA